rnacentral:rRNA from 1 species
CCUAGUUGAUCCUGCCAGUAGUCAUAUGCUUGUCUCAAAGAUUAAGCCAUGCAUGUGUAAGUAUGAACUAAUUCAGACUCUGAAACUGCGAAUGGCUCAUUAAAUCAGUUAUAGUUUGUUUGAUGGUAUUUGCUACUCGGAUAACCGUAGUAAUUCUACAGCUAAUACGUGCAACAAACCCCGACUUCUGGAAGGGAUGCAUUUAUUAGAUAAAAGGUCAACGUGGGCUCUGCCCGUUGCUCUGAUGAUUCAUGAUAACUCGACGCAUCGCACUGCCAUCAUGCCGGCGACGCAUCAUUCAAAUUUUUGCCCUAUCAACUUUUGACGGUAGGAUAGUGGCCUACUAUGGUGGUGACAGGUGACGGAGAAUUAGGGUUCGAUUUCGGAGAGGGAGCCUGAGAAACGGCUACCACAUCCAAGGAAGGCAGCAGACGCGCAAAUUAUCCAAUCCUGACACGGGGAGGUAGUGACAAUAAAUAACAAUAUCGGGCUCUUCGAGUCUGGUAAUUGGAAUGAGUACAAUCUAAAUCCCUUAACGAGGAUCAAUUGGAGGGCAAGUCUGGUGCCAGCAGCCGCGGUAAUUCCAGCUCCAAUAGCGUAUAUUUAUGUUGUUGCAGUUAAAAAAGCUCGUAGUUGGACCUUGGGUUGGGUCGAUCGGUCCGCCUGUGGUGAGCACCGAUUGGCUCGUCCCUUCUGUCGGCGAUGCGCUUCUGGCCUUAACUGGCCGGGUCGUGCCUCUGGCGCUGUUACUUUUAAGAAAUUAGAGUGCUCAAAGCAAGCCUACGCUCUGUAUGCAUUAGCAUGGGAUAACAUCAUAGGAUUUCGAUCCUAUUCUGUUGGCCUUCGGGAUCGGAGUAAUGAUUAACAGGGACAGUCGAAGGCAUUCGUAUUUCAUAGUCAGAGGUGAAAUUCUUGGAUUUAUGAAAGACGAACAACUGCAAAAUUAUUUGCCAAGGAUGUUUUCAUAAAUCAUGAACGAAAGUUGGGGGCUCGAAGACGAUCAGAUAUCAUCCUAGUCUCAACCAUAAACGAUGCCGACCAGAGAUUGGCGGAUGUUGCUUUAAGAACUCCGCCAACACCUUAUGAGAAAUCAAAGUCUAGGGGUUACGGGGGAAGUAUGGUCGCAAGGUUGAAACUUAAAAGAAUUGACGGAAGGGCACCACCAGGAGUGGAGCCUGCGACUUAAUUUGACUCAACAAGGGGAAACUUACCAGGUCCAGACAUAGUAAGUAAGGAUUGACAGACUCAAAGAUCUUUCUUAAUUCUAUGGGUGGUGGUGCAUGGUCAUUCUUAGUUGGUGGAGCGAUUUGUCUGGUUAAUUCCGUUAAUGAACGAGACCUCAGCCUGCUAACUAGCUAUGCGGAGGAAUCCCUCCGCGGCCAGCUUCUUAGAGGGACUAUGGCCGCUUAGGCCAAGGAAGUUUGAGGCAAUAACAGGUCUGUCAUGCCCUUAGAUGUUCUGGGCUGCACGUGUGCUACACUGAUGUAUUCAACGAGUCUAUAGCCUUGGCCGAUAGGCCCGGGUAAUCUUUGAAAUUUCAUCGUGAUGGGGAUAAAACAUUGCAAUUGUUGGUCUUCAACGAGGAAUUCCUUGUAAGCGCGAGUCAUCAGCUCGCGUUGACUACGUCCCUGCCCUUUGUACACACCGCCCGUCGCACCUACCGAUUGAAUUGUCCGGUGAAGUGUUUGAAUCGUUGAGACAUGGGCGGUUCGCUGCCUGCGACGUCGCGAGAAGUCCACUGAACCUUAUCAUUUAGAGGAAGGAGAAGUCGUAACAAGGUUUCCGUAGGUGAACCUGCGGAAG